UGUAAGCGUAUACCAAAGUUGUUGCAGUUAAAACGCUCGUAGUCGGAAUUUGGCAGUUCCGGAUGUGUGCACGUCGUGUGCGCACUUCGCGGGGAUUGCUUUUGUGGUCUUGCGUAGGAUGAGGCACUUUUAUUAGUGAACGUCCUCACGCAACCACUUUUUACUGUGAGAAAAUCAGAGUGCUCAAAGCAGGCAUUUGCCGUGAAUGUAUUAGCAUGGAAUAAUAGAAUAGGACUUGGUUCUAUUUUGUUGGUUUGUUGGGACUGAGUAAUGAUUAAGAGGGACAGUUGGGGGCAUUUGUAUUUCGGUGCUAGAGGUGAAAUUCUUAGAUUACCGAAAGACAAACUGCUGCGAAAGCGUCAGCCAAGGAUGUUUUCAUUGA
rnacentral:rRNA from 1 species